CUGCUGCUUCUGUGUGUCCCCUAAAGUGUAGUUUAACCAGUGCCGAAACCAAUCGACCGUUUGAAUGUCUUUCCACUGUUUUCCUUCUCAUGUACCUGUUCGCACAUGAACGAGUCCUUUGCCCGGCCUUGAUCCAUUUAUCAUUCAUGGUAUUCAAUUAUCAAUCUUUACUUUACGGUUGCUCAAGCAGUAGAAUGACCCACAUCCCUGCCGUGAACAUGGCUUGAGCUCGUCAAGCAAGUGGUGGAUGGAUUACUUUACCUCAUUCAAAGACCGAUUCAAUUUAGAUCAGAUCAGAGGCAACUGCAUCAUCCGCCCCUACAGAUUCUUGGCCGCUUAUUACUUGUGGUCAUAGCCGUCACUCCGCCCUUGGCCGACACAUACGGCCAUGAUCGAUCCUCUGCACUUUGAGGCCCACGCUUCAAGACAAUCCAGCCCCUUAUUGCCGUUCUCCCGCCCGUUUCCCACCCACCAGUGUUGUCCAUGAAAACGAAAGCUUACAGACCGGGUCUAGCUCUUCGACUGACUCACUCGAUUGGCGGUUGCUUGGCUGUAAUGGUCCAUAAAUCGUUCCCACCGGCCCUGGAUUGACUGGAUGGCUUCAACCAAUACUAUUUAAAACACGCCAAGCAUCUCUCCACGAAGUACGUAUGUUCAGGCAAUAGGUCAGCUAUUGCAUUGAUUGGCCAUCUCAAAUUGUUUCUCUCCCAGACGUGGAUCAAGAAUAGCCUUCAUGUCAAUGGUAUCACGACCCAGGCCAUGGGUUUUCAUUGCCCUCCACCAGCUCCACAUUAACUGAAGUCGUCAAUAGCUUUUACUACUGUUUGAUUGUGUUUCACCCACCCAACUAUAUUUUGUUAAUCAUUUAUCAACAAGUCAAGGAUGCGGGACCUUCCCAGCGCUCAUUUUCGUCUAUGGCCUUCGCUUAUGGCGUCCCAGCUCCCCCAGCUCAUCCUGAAAGCGGCCAAUGACUCCCUUUUCAAAUUACUCAGAACAUACCUCUGAGGGUCUUAGUAUGCCAAUAAUGCAUGAAUGCAUUUCAUGAGCAAAUGUCAACAAUGUGGCAUCAUAUCAUUGUCCUGGGACCAACAUUUCUUUGGAAUAUUGACGGUGGCACCCAAUUGUCCGGCCACAAGAUUGGCAAUCUGUCCAAUCGACCCAUCCUCUACUCUACAACUACCAAAAUUUCCAUCACUAUUCCUCUUCAAUAGCGUUUAUCUUACUUAUUCCUGAAAACUGAGCUGAUUGUUGUCAAUGUCAUCUGUAUUUUCACCUGGUUAUCAAUAUACAUAUCAAUUAAACCCUG